UACAGAGGAUGCAAGCGUUAUCCGGAAUGAUUGGGCGUAAAGCGUCCGCAGGUGGUUUUGUAAGUCUGCUGUUAAAGCGUUAGGCUCAACCUAAUAAGGGCAGUGGAAACUAUGAGACUAGAGUAUGUUAGGGGUAGAGGGAAUUCCCAGUGUAGCGGUGAAAUGCGUAGAUAUUGGGAAGAACACCGGUGGCGAAGGCGGCUCUCUGGACCGAGACUGACGCUGAGGCGCGAAAGCGUGGGGAGCAAACAGG
rnacentral:rRNA from 1 species